AGAACAUCGAACGGGAAACAGCUGAAGCGGGCAGACAUGUUCCUGCAGUGUCUGACAGUCAAUGUGACACUUUCCUCUGUUUUCACAGGUGCCUGCUGCUGGUUGUUUUAGGCAGAAGUGAGCGCAUUAGACUGAGCGAAAGGAGGAAAGAGGUGGACAGCCCACGUCAUCACCUGCCCAGGGUCAGGUCUCCACUCAGGUCUCACAGUGUAUGACUGCUGAUCCAACAAGAGCACAAAGUGUACUUCCUCCACACAAAUUUCUGCAUCUUAGUCAUGAGAGUCAUAAAUCAGAUUUGAUAUCCAAUCUCACGGGAAGCAUUAAGGAAACUGUGCCGGCCCAGGAGCCAUAAUGUUCUGUAUGAUGCUUUGGGGAACAGACACAGUAUGCAUUUCCUCUAUCAUUACAUAUCUAUUUUUUAUUUUUUUUGUUAAUGCUAAAAACAUUUGUGCUCCUUAAUAUUCUUAGAAUAUUCUUAGGAUUCUUUGAUGAAACAGAACACAGAAUAACUGCAUUGCUAUGAUUAUUUCUAGAAGAAUAGAGAUCAGAGAUGACAAAAGAAAGGUAUCCCUGCAGGCACAAGCGCACCGGCCCAAGAGGACAUGAUAAAGAUCUGGUCUGGUCUGGACAUUGCCAUUGCAGCUCCAGGGCAAGACAGUAGGAUGAGUAAAUAUGUGCCAUCAGAUAAACCCGUCUCUCCUGUUCCUCCACAUUGCAGACCCCACUGCAGGAAUCUGAAGCUCUAUGUAUAUGGAGCCCACCUGCUCACAAAGCACCGUCACCAUCCAGCCUUCAAGAAAAAAUGGGAUAAUUUAAAGGCUAAAAAGAGGGAAAUGUCCAUGCAUUUAUGUUUGAAAUUUUAUGUAAAACAAAGCAGUCAAAUUACUAAUGUGAGAGCAAAGACCAUGCAUGUAGAGGACUGUUUUAUUGCCCAGUCUACGUUUGGGAUGAAAGCUCAGACCCCUGCUGAGCCCCAAAGCAAACAGCUGUCUUUGAUGUCACUGCAGGGACUGCGGCUCUUUUGCCAUGGAGACUAACACUCUGCUCUGAUUAUUAACUGCACAUACGAUGAGACAGGAA
ensembl:lncRNA